AAAUAUUAAAAAAAAAGAAAAAAACUCCUUUACGCUUCGACAGGCACAUCACAUGCAUGAACAAAGACCAACUUUUCAGCUGUACAGGAGCUGAAUCCC